GUCUCUCCUACUUAGGGUGACCAAACCCUUAAUACAUUUAUACAAACAAAACUGCUUUAAAAACGGAGAAGCAUCGAUGGAGGCGUUGGAGCUGGAGCUGGAAGAAGUGGAGUCCCAGAUCCGCGCGCUGGUGGUAAGACGGUCGCGGCUACGGGAACGGCUUCUAGCCGUACCUCAUGCUAAGGCCGUCUCAUCACCUAAGGUACGUGGAAAUUACAACCACAUCAUUCCCUCUACCUCAACCCCGCGUCCUUCUCUGUGCUUCCCAGAUCCCGGGGCAGAACGUCUCCGCCUGUGUUCGAGAUCUCCACGGAGAACCGCUUCUCCCCGCUCCGCGAGUCGGGUCCGAUGUGGCCAUCAUCGGUGACUCGAUCGUUCGUCACGUCCGUGCCGCCUCCUCAAAAGG
rnacentral:lncRNA from 1 species